rnacentral:rRNA from 1 species
GGGUUGUGAGGUUAAGCGACUAAGCGUACACGGUGGAUGCCCUGGCAGUCAGAGGCGAUGAAGGACGUGCUAAUCUGCGAUAAGCGUCGGUAAGGUGAUAUGAACCGUUAUAACCGGCGAUUUCCGAAUGGGGAAACCCAGUGUGAUUCGUCACACUAUCAUUAACUGAAUCCAUAGGUUAAUGAGGCGAACCGGGGGAACUGAAACAUCUAAGUACCCCGAGGAAAAGAAAUCAACCGAGAUUCCCCCAGUAGCGGCGAGCGAACGGGGAGCAGCCCAGAGCCUGAAUCAGUGUGUGUGUUAGUGGAAGCGUCUGGAAAGGCGCGCGAUACAGGGUGACAGCCCCGUACACAAAAAUGCACAUGCUGUGAGCUCGAUGAGUAGGGCGGGACACGUGGUAUCCUGUCUGAAUAUGGGGGGACCAUCCUCCAAGGCUAAAUACUCCUGACUGACCGAUAGUGAACCAGUACCGUGAGGGAAAGGCGAAAAGAACCCCGGCGAGGGGAGUGAAAAAGAACCUGAAACCGUGUACGUACAAGCAGUGGGAGCACGCUUAGGCGUGUGACUGCGUACCUUUUGUAUAAUGGGUCAGCGACUUAUAUUCUGUAGCAAGGUUAACCGAAUAGGGGAGCCGAAGGGAAACCGAGUCUUAACUGGGCGUUAAGUUGCAGGGUAUAGACCCGAAACCCGGUGAUCUAGCCAUGGGCAGGUUGAAGGUUGGGUAACACUAACUGGAGGACCGAACCGACUAAUGUUGAAAAAUUAGCGGAUGACUUGUGGCUGGGGGUGAAAGGCCAAUCAAACCGGGAGAUAGCUGGUUCUCCCCGAAAGCUAUUUAGGUAGCGCCUCGUGAAUUCAUCUCCGGGGGUAGAGCACUGUUUCGGCAAGGGGGUCAUCCCGACUUACCAACCCGAUGCAAACUGCGAAUACCGGAGAAUGUUAUCACGGGAGACACACGGCGGGUGCUAACGUCCGUCGUGAAGAGGGAAACAACCCAGACCGCCAGCUAAGGUCCCAAAGUCAUGGUUAAGUGGGAAACGAUGUGGGAAGGCCCAGACAGCCAGGAUGUUGGCUUAGAAGCAGCCAUCAUUUAAAGAAAGCGUAAUAGCUCACUGGUCGAGUCGGCCUGCGCGGAAGAUGUAACGGGGCUAAACCAUGCACCGAAGCUGCGGCAGCGACGCUUAUGCGUUGUUGGGUAGGGGAGCGUUCUGUAAGCCUGCGAAGGUGUGCUGUGAGGCAUGCUGGAGGUAUCAGAAGUGCGAAUGCUGACAUAAGUAACGAUAAAGCGGGUGAAAAGCCCGCUCGCCGGAAGACCAAGGGUUCCUGUCCAACGUUAAUCGGGGCAGGGUGAGUCGACCCCUAAGGCGAGGCCGAAAGGCGUAGUCGAUGGGAAACAGGUUAAUAUUCCUGUACUUGGUGUUACUGCGAAGGGGGGACGGAGAAGGCUAUGUUGGCCGGGCGACGGUUGUCCCGGUUUAAGCGUGUAGGCUGGUUUUCCAGGCAAAUCCGGAAAAUCAAGGCUGAGGCGUGAUGACGAGGCACUACGGUGCUGAAGCAACAAAUGCCCUGCUUCCAGGAAAAGCCUCUAAGCAUCAGGUAACAUCAAAUCGUACCCCAAACCGACACAGGUGGUCAGGUAGAGAAUACCAAGGCGCUUGAGAGAACUCGGGUGAAGGAACUAGGCAAAAUGGUGCCGUAACUUCGGGAGAAGGCACGCUGAUAUGUAGGUGAAGUCCCUCGCGGAUGGAGCUGAAAUCAGUCGAAGAUACCAGCUGGCUGCAACUGUUUAUUAAAAACACAGCACUGUGCAAACACGAAAGUGGACGUAUACGGUGUGACGCCUGCCCGGUGCCGGAAGGUUAAUUGAUGGGGUUAGCGCAAGCGAAGCUCUUGAUCGAAGCCCCGGUAAACGGCGGCCGUAACUAUAACGGUCCUAAGGUAGCGAAAUUCCUUGUCGGGUAAGUUCCGACCUGCACGAAUGGCGUAAUGAUGGCCAGGCUGUCUCCACCCGAGACUCAGUGAAAUUGAACUCGCUGUGAAGAUGCAGUGUACCCGCGGCAAGACGGAAAGACCCCGUGAACCUUUACUAUAGCUUGACACUGAACAUUGAGCCUUGAUGUGUAGGAUAGGUGGGAGGCUUUGAAGUGUGGACGCCAGUCUGCAUGGAGCCGACCUUGAAAUACCACCCUUUAAUGUUUGAUGUUCUAACGUGGACCCGUAAUCCGGGUUGCGGACAGUGUCUGGUGGGUAGUUUGACUGGGGCGGUCUCCUCCUAAAGAGUAACGGAGGAGCACGAAGGUUGGCUAAUCCUGGUCGGACAUCAGGAGGUUAGUGCAAUGGCAUAAGCCAGCUUGACUGCGAGCGUGACGGCGCGAGCAGGUGCGAAAGCAGGUCAUAGUGAUCCGGUGGUUCUGAAUGGAAGGGCCAUCGCUCAACGGAUAAAAGGUACUCCGGGGAUAACAGGCUGAUACCGCCCAAGAGUUCAUAUCGACGGCGGUGUUUGGCACCUCGAUGUCGGCUCAUCACAUCCUGGGGCUGAAGUAGGUCCCAAGGGUAUGGCUGUUCGCCAUUUAAAGUGGUACGCGAGCUGGGUUUAGAACGUCGUGAGACAGUUCGGUCCCUAUCUGCCGUGGGCGCUGGAGAACUGAGGGGGGCUGCUCCUAGUACGAGAGGACCGGAGUGGACGCAUCACUGGUGUUCGGGUUGUCAUGCCAAUGGCACUGCCCGGUAGCUAAAUGCGGAAGAGAUAAGUGCUGAAAGCAUCUAAGCACGAAACUUGCCCCGAGAUGAGUUCUCCCUGACUCCUUGAGAGUCCUGAAGGAACGUUGAAGACGACGACGUUGAUAGGCCGGGUGUGUAAGCGCAGCGAUGCGUUGAGCUAACCGGUACUAAUGAACCGUGAGGCUUAACCUUACAACGCCGAAG